GCCACAGUGCUUUAGUGGUUAGAAUAUUGGACUAGGGCUUAGAAGACCCAGGUUCAAGUCUCCACUGAGCUA